UACAGAGGGUGCAAGCGUUAAUCGGAAUUACUGGGCGUAAAGCGCGCGUAGGUGGUUCGUUAAGUUGGAUGUGAAAUCCCCGGGCUCAACCUGGGAACUGCAUUCAAAACUGUCGAGCUAGAGUAUGGUAGAGGGUGGUGGAAUUUCCUGUGUAGCGGUGAAAUGCGUAGAUAUAGGAAAGAACACCAGUGGCGAAGGCGACCACCUGGACUGAUACUGACACUGAGGUGCGAAAGCGUGGGGAGCAAACAGG
rnacentral:rRNA from 1 species